CUAUGCGCCUUGCCAGCCCGCUCAGAAACUCAAAGGAAUUGACGGGGGCCCGCACAAGCGGUGGAGCAUGUGGUUUAAUUCGAUGCAACGCGAAAAACCUUACCUGGGCUUGACAUCUCUCGGAACCCGGUAGAAACAUCGGGGUGCCCGCAAGGGAGCCGAGAGACAGGUGCUGCAUGGCUGUCGUCAGCUCGUGCCGUGAGGUGUUGGGUUAAGUCCCGUAACGAGCGCAACCCCUGCCUUUAGUUGCGACCGGUAACGCCGAGCACUCUAAAGGGACUGCCUGGGAUAACCAGGAGGAAGGCGGGGAUGACGUCAAGUCAGCAUGGCCCUUACGUCCAGGGCUACACACGUGCUACAAUGGCCGGUACAGAGGGAAGCAAUACCGCGAGGUGGAGCAAAUCCCAUAAAGCCGGCCUCAGUUCAGAUCGGAGGCUGCAACUCGCCUCCGUGAAGGCGGAAUCGCUAGUAAUCGCGGAUCAGCAGGCCGCGGUGAAUACGUUCCCGGGCCUU
rnacentral:rRNA from 1 species